rnacentral:rRNA from 1 species
AUUGAACGCUGGCGGCAGGCCUAACACAUGCAAGUCGAGCGGAUGAAGGGAGCUUGCUCCUGGAUUCAGCGGCGGACGGGUGAGUAAUGCCUAGGAAUCUGCCUGGUAGUGGGGGAUAACGUCCGGAAACGGGCGCUAAUACCGCAUACGUCCUGAGGGAGAAAGUGGGGGAUCUUCGGACCUCACGCUAUCAGAUGAGCCUUGGUCGGAUUAGCUAGUUGGUGGGGUAAAGGCCUACCAAGGCGACGAUCCGUAACUGGUCUGAGAGGAUGAUCAGUCACACUGGAACUGAGACACGGUCCAGACUCCUACGGGAGGCAGCAGUGGGGAAUAUUGGACAAUGGGCGAAAGCCUGAUCCAGCCAUGCCGCGUGUGUGAAGAAGGUCUUCAGAUUGUAAAGCACUUUAAGUUGGGAGGAAGGGCAGUAAGUUAAUACCUUGCUGUUUUGACGUUACCAACAGAAUAAGCACCGGCUAACUUCGUG